rnacentral:lncRNA from 1 species
CCCAAACGUGUCCGAUACUCCCAAACGUGUCCACAUCGACGUCACUGAACUGCAAAACAUGUCUAGUUGUAAAAAGGGCGUCAAAGCGUGUCAUUUGUAUUAUUCAGACGCCUAAACGUGUCCAUCUUUAAUAAACACCCAAACGUGUCCAAUCCUUCAAACGUGCCCAAUUCCCCAAACUUGUCCUAUAAUAUAUUUUUA